GAUGAACGCUGGCGGCGUGCCUAAUACAUGCAAGUCGAGCGAAUGGAUUAAGAGCUUGCUCUUAUGAAGUUAGCGGCGGACGGGUGAGUAACACGUGGGUAACCUGCCCAUAAGACUGGGAUAACUCCGGGAAACCGGGGCUAAUACCGGAUAACAUUUUGAACCGCAUGGUUCGAAAUUGAAAGGCGGCUUCGGCUGUCCCUUAUGGAUGGACCCGCGUCGCAUUAGCUAGUUGGUGAGGUAACGGCUCACCAAGGCAACGAUGCGUAGCCGACCUGAGAGGGUGAUCGGCCACACUGGGGCUGAGACACGUCCCAGACUCCUACGGGAGGCAGCAGUAGGGAAUCUUCCGCAAUGGACGAAAGUCUGACGGAGCAACGCCGCGUGAGUGAUGAAGGCUUUCGGGUCGUAAAACUCUGUUGUUAGGGAAGAACAAGUGCUAGUUGAAUAAGCUGGCACCUUGACGGUACCUAACCAGAAAGCCACGGCUAACUACGUGCCAGCAGCCGCCGUAA
rnacentral:rRNA from 1 species